rnacentral:rRNA from 1 species
GAUGAACGCUGGCGGCGUGCCUAAUACAUGCAAGUCGAGCGAACAGACGAGGAGCUUGCUCCUCUGACGUUAGCGGCGGACGGGUGAGUAACACGUGGAUAACCUACCUAUAAGACUGGGAUAACUUCGGGAAACCGGAGCUAAUACCGGAUAAUAUAUUGAACCGCAUGGUUCAAUAGUGAAAGACGGUUUUGCUGUCACUUAUAGAUGGAUCCGCGCCGCAUUAGCUGGUUGGUAAGGUAACGGCUUACCAAGGCGACGAUGCGUAGCCGACCUGAGAGGGUGAUCGCCCACACGGGAACUGAGACACGGACCAGACUCCUACGGGAGGCAGCAGUAGGGAAUCUUCCGCAGUGGGCGAAAGCCUGACGGAGCAGCGCCGCGUGAGUGGUGGAGGUCUUCGGAUCGUAAAGCUCUCUUAUUAGGGAAGAACAAAUGUGUAAGUAACUGUGCACGUCUUGACGGUACCUAGUCAGAAAGCCACGGCUAACUACGUG